AUAACUUCUAACGCCAUGUCGUUUACAUCUGUAGUACUAUUCUUAUCAGCUUAAUAUCUGAUACGAUCCCCAUGUGGGAUCACGAAAAUUAAACGAUUUUUGGAAAAGGCGAAGUGCUAGGGGCUUGCUCCACUUUGCCGUGGAUCGCCCGGUAUUGCAGUACCUCGGGAUUGGUCCAUCCCCG
rnacentral:snRNA from 1 species